rnacentral:rRNA from 1 species
UUGAGAGUUUGAUCCUGGCUCAGGAUGAACGCUAGCUACAGGCUUAACACAUGCAAGUCGAGGGGCAGCGAGGUUGAAGCUUGCUUCAACUGUCGGCGACCGGCGCACGGGUGAGUAACACGUAUCCAACCUGCCUUCCACUCGGGAAUAGCCUUUCGAAAGAAAGAUUAAUGCCCGAUGGUACGGAAUUCUCGCAUGAGAGUUCCUUUAAAGAAUUUCGGUGGAAGAUGGGGAUGCGUUCCAUUAGGCAGUUGGCGGGGUAACGGCCCACCAAACCUACGAUGGAUAGGGGUUCUGAGAGGAAGGUCCCCCACAUUGGAACUGAGACACGGUCCAAACUCCUACGGGAGGCAGCAGUGAGGAAUAUUGGUCAAUGGACGAGAGUCUGAACCAGCCAAGUAGCGUGAAGGAUGACUGCCCUAUGGGUUGUAAACUUCUUUUAUACGGGAAUAAAGUGAGGCACGUGUGCCUUUUUAUAUGUACCGUAUGAAUAAGGAUCGGCUAACUCCGUGCCAGCAGCCGCGGUAAUACGGAGGAUCCGAGCGUUAUCCGGAUUUAUUGGGUUUAAAGGGAGCGUAGGCGGAAUUUUAAGUCAGCUGUGAAAGUUUGCGGCUCAACCGUAAAAUUGCAGUUGAUACUGGAGUUCUUGAGUGCGGUAAAGGCAGGCGGAAUUCGUGGUGUAGCGGUGAAAUGCUUAGAUAUCACGAAGAACUCCUAUUGCGAAGGCAGCUUGCUGGACCGUAACUGACGCUGAUGCUCGAAAGUGCGGGUAUCAAACAGGAUUAGAUACCCUGGUAGUCCGCACAGUAAACGAUGAAUACUCGCUGUUGGCGAUAUACAGUCAGCGGCCAAGCGAAAGCAUUAAGUAUUCCACCUGGGGAGUACGCCGGCAACGGUGAAACUCAAAGGAAUUGACGGGGGCCCGCACAAGCGGAGGAACAUGUGGUUUAAUUCGAUGAUACGCGAGGAACCUUACCCGGGCUUGAAUUGCUUCUGAAUAAUCUGGAAACAGGUUAGCCGCAAGGCAGAAGUGAAGGUGCUGCAUGGUUGUCGUCAGCUCGUGCCGUGAGGUGUCGGCUUAAGUGCCAUAACGAGCGCAACCCUCAUCUCCAGUUGCCAUCAGGUCAUGCUGGGAACUCUGGAGAGACUGCCGUCGUAAGAUGUGAGGAAGGUGGGGAUGACGUCAAAUCAGCACGGCCCUUACGUCCGGGGCUACACACGUGUUACAAUGGGGGGUACAGAAGGCAGCUACCUGGCGACAGGAUGCUAAUCCCGAAAGCCUCUCUCAGUUCGGACUGGAGUCUGCAGCCCGACUCCACGAAGCUGGAUUCGCUAGUAAUCGCGCAUCAGCCAUGGCGCGGUGAAUACGUUCCCGGGCCUUGUACACACCGCCCGUCAAGCCAUGAAAGCCGGGGGUACCUGAAGUGCGUAACCGUAAGGAGCGUCCUAGGGUAAAACUGGUAAUUGGGGCUAAGUCGUAACAAGGUAGCCGUA